UAGUUUAUAGUCCUUUAGUUGAAAGGCGCUAGAUAAAUUUGCCGGCUUUAAAAAAGUUUCAGCAAUUCCGAUUAUAUGAUAUGUACCAUCAUUAAAGUACUGGAAGAAUUCAUCCCAAUGAACCGUUAAGUCUUGUGGUUGACGUGGCAGAUAUCAAUGUUUUUGGAGUUUAUUGAUGGUUUGUUGUUAUUUUUUAUUGUCAUCUAGUAUGUGAGCGUAUUUAUUAAAAGUAUAGAUGUCCCUAGCUUUGAAGAUUUUAAUCCAGUAUGUGUUGUGUUGAGAUUGCGAUAACUGAUCUCUCCUCCGCUGUAAACAAAGGGAUUUACGAUAUCCUAUUUUGAGUUCCCGUUCGCCGAGACGCGCCUACGCCUUCGACAACGUUAACGCCUUGUUCCAGUCAUCCAAUUCCAGGUCCAGCCCAGUUCAUUAGGACUCAAGUUGUGAAAACUAACUACCUACACAGAAAAUGGCUAACAGAUCUGAUAUCUGGUACCACUUUAAGAAGCUGGAUGAGAACAACCGGCAGAAAGGGAAGUGCUUUUUUUGUUAAGCAAUUAUUUCAACACGAGGGUCAACAAGUACGCCGCCACCUUAUAAAAAGACACCCUACGAUAAACGUUCAUCGUGAAGCCCAAUCCCGCUCACCAUCAACUCCUGUUCCUCCAGUUGUUCAAUUUACCCAAACUAAUAGAUUGCAAGAAAUUGAAGUUCAGCAUGUGGACUAGCCACUCUCUGUGGCGUUCUUUCAAACACCCUCUUCUUCCAAGGAAGGCUGUUCUUCUCGUUUCACUUAAACCUUUCGGUCUCACCCCUUGUAAUGACAAUACCAUCCCUCCCGUUAGGACAAACUUGCAUAAGAAGUUUUGUUAAUUUAACUCGCCCAAUUACAGUAAUAAAAGCCGAGAAAUUGAUAUACAAUUAUUAAAAAUGAUUUGUUCAGAGUAUCAACCAUUUAGUAUUGUAAAGGACAAAUAAUUUAAAACGUUGGUUAACGUGUUAUAUCCAAAUUAUAAGUUACCAAGUAGGAAAACUCUAUCACAAAGUCUUUUAUCUUCCCUAUGUACCUCCAAUAUUGAGAAAAUUAUACAAUUAUUAGAAAAAACACCGUCUGCUUGUCUGAUUGCAGAUGGUUGGACCAAUAUAAAUACAGUAAAUUUUUAUGCAGUAACUGCACAUUUUUUU